rnacentral:ncRNA from 1 species
AAGUCCUCGUCGGAUGGACAAUAAAUAUGCCGACUGGUGCGGAUGGGGUUACCCCGCCUGUUUCUUAUUUCAGUCAAAAAUAAGUGGCGAGCAUACAA